rnacentral:rRNA from 1 species
GAUGAACGCUGGCGGCGUGCCUAAUACAUGCAAGUCGAGCGAACAGACGAGGAGCUUGCUCCUUUGACGUUAGCGGCGGACGGGUGAGUAACACGUGGAUAACCUACCUAUAAGACUGGGAUAACUUCGGGAAACCGGAGCUAAUACCGGACAACAUGUUGAACCGCAUGGUUCAACAGUGAAAGACGGUCUUGCUGUCACUUAUAGAUGGAUCCGCGCCGCAUUAGCUAGUUGGUAAGGUAACGGCUUACCAAGGCAACGAUGCGUAGCCGACCUGAGAGGGUGAUCGGCCACACUGGAACUGAGACACGGUCCAGACUCCUACGGGAGGCAGCAGUAGGGAAUCUUCCGCAAUGGGCGAAAGCCUGACGGAGCAACGCCGCGUGAGUGAAGAAGGUCUUCGGAUCGUAAAACUCUGUUAUCAGGGAAGAACAAAUGUGUAAGUAACUAUGCACGUCUUGACGGUACCUAAUCAGAAAGCCACGGCUAACUACGUG